rnacentral:rRNA from 1 species
AACGAACGCUGGCGGCAUGCCUAACACAUGCAAGUCGAACGAGACCUUCGGGUCUAGUGGCGCACGGGUGCGUAACGCGUGGGAACCUGCCCUUAGGUUCGGAAUAACUCCCCGAAAGGGGUGCUAAUACCGGAUAAUGUCUUCGGACCAAAGAUUUAUCGCCUUUGGAUGGGCCCGCGUUGGAUUAGCUCGUUGGUAGGGUAAAAGCCUACCAAGGCGACGAUCCAUAGCUGGUCUGAGAGGAUGAUCAGCCACACUGGGACUGAGACACGGCCCAGACUCCUACGGGAGGCAGCAGUGGGGAAUAUUGGACAAUGGGCGAAAGCAUGAUCCAGCAAUGCCGCGUGAGUGAUGAAGGCCUUAGGGUUGUAAAGCUCUUUUACCCGGGAUGAUAAUGACAGUACCGGGAGAAUAAGCUCCGGCUAACUCCGUG